GAACCAGGACUGAACCAGGUCUAAACCAGGACUGAACCAGGUCUAAACCAGGACUGAACCAGGACUGAACCAGGUCUAAACCAGGACUAAACCAGGACUAAACCAGGACUGAACCAGGUCUAAACCAGGACUGAACCAGGACUAAACCAGGUCUAAACCAGGACUAAACCAGGACUAAACCAGGACUAAACCAGGUCUAAACCAGGUCUAAACCGGGUCUAAACCGGGACUAAACCGGGACUCAACCGGGACUGAACCGGGACUGAACCGGGACUGAACCGGGACUGAACCGGGACUGAACCGGGACUAAACCGGGACUAAACCAGGACUAAACCAGGACUAAACCAGGACUGAACCAGGACUGAACCAGGACUGAACCAGGACUGAACCAGGUCUAAACCAGGACUGAACCAGGACUGAACCAGGACUGAACCAGGACUGAACCAGGUCUAAACCAGGACUGAACCAGGACUGAACCAGGUCUAAACCAGGACUAAACCAGGACUAAACCAGGACUGAACCAGGACUGAACCAGGUCUAAACCAGGACUGAACCAGGUCUAAACCAGGACUAAACCAGGACUAAACCAGGACUGAACCAGGUCUAAACCAGGACUGAACCAGGACUAAACCAGGACUAAACCAGGACUAAACCAGGACUAAACCAGGACUAAACCAGGUCUAAACCAGGUCUAAACCAGGGCUGAACCAGGACUGAACCAGGACUGAACCAGGACUGAACCAGGACUGAACCAGGACUGAACCAGGACUAAACCAGGACUAAACCAGGUCUAAACCAGGUCUAAACCAGG
ensembl:lncRNA